rnacentral:rRNA from 1 species
UACAGAGGGGGGCAAGCGUUGUUCGGAAUUACUGGGCGUAAAGGGCGCGUAGGCGGCCUGUUAAGUCGAACGUGAAAUCCCCGGGCUCAACCCGGGAACUGCGUCCGAUACUGGCAGGCUUGAAUUCGGGAGAGGGAUGUGGAAUUCCAGGUGUAGCGGUGAAAUGCGUAGAUAUCUGGAGGAACACCGGUGGCGAAGGCGGCAUCCUGGACCGAUAUUGACGCUGAUGCGCGAAAGCCAGGGGAGCAAACGGG